rnacentral:rRNA from 1 species
UACGUAGGGAGCGAGCGUUGUCCGGAAUUACUGGGCGUAAAGGGCGCGUAGGCGGGAACUUAAGUCAGGUGUGAAAACUCCGAGCUCAACUUGGAGACUGCACUUGAAACUAGGUUUCUUGAGGGCAGGAGAGGAAAGUGGAAUUCCUAGUGUAGCGGUGAAAUGCGUAGAUAUUAGGAGGAACACCAGUGGCGAAGGCGACUUUCUGGACUGUACCUGACGCUGAGGCGCGAAAGCGUGGGGAGCGAACGGGAUUAGAUACCCCGGUAGUCCACGCUGUAAACGAUGAAUACUAGGUGUAGGAGGUAUCGACCCCUUCUGUGCCGCAGCUAACGCAAUAAGUAUUCCGCCUGGGGAGUACGGCCGCAAGGUUGAA